ACUCAAAGGAAUAGACGGGGGCCCGCACAAGCAGCGGAGCGUGUGGUUUAAUUCGAUGCAACGCGCAGAACCUUACCGGGGUUUGACAUGCUCAGGAAAGCCCGAGAGAUCGGGUCCCUCUUCGGAGUCGGAGCACAGGUGCUGCAUGGCUGUCGUCAGCUCGUGCCGUGAGGUGUUGGGUUAAGUCCCGCAACGAGCGCAACCCUCGUCGCUAGUUGCAUCUUUCUAGCGAGACCGCUGCGCAAAACGCAGAGGAAGGUGGGGAUGACGUCAAGUCAUCAUGGCCUUUAUGCCCCGGGCUACACACACGCUACAAUGGGUGGUACAGACGGUUGCGAAGCCGCGAGGUGAAGCUAAUCCGACAAAGCCAUCCUCAGUUCAGAUUGCAGGCUGCAACUCGCCUGCAUGAAGACGGAGUUGCUAGUAACCGCAGGUCAGCACACUGCGGUGAAUACGUUCCCGGGCCUUGUACACACCGCCCGU
rnacentral:rRNA from 1 species